CACAAACCCUAAACAGAACCUCAACACUACUUGAUCUUAUCUGAGCAGAGGAAGCCACGGCGCGUUUGUUGCCUUUCCUAUCCUUUCAUUUGCAGCGGCGACGGUGGCGGCGGAGCCUCCGUCAUUGGCGGCUCUGCCUCCGGGCCCGCCGCGACUGAAAGACGAAAUUCGCCGUCGGAACCCUGCAAUGAAGACUGCCCGCGGUUAAGUAUGGCAUAGGCAUCUGAAGCUUCAUAAGGCAUGAGGAGAUUUUCAUGCGAUGCGUGUCAUGCUUAAUGGUAUUUUGAUCUGUAUCUUUAUAUUAUUAAACUUAUACUCAUGAGCCUGCUUGUAAUUUAAUUUAGUACACCCAAUUUAUACGUAUCCAUUAUUCCAUUUGGUAUAAUAAUCGUCAACCUCAAACUUGAAUUACUAUUGUGUGUAUAUAUAGUCACGCGUAAGAACUAGCUUCCAAUUGGUACAAUACAAUUUUGGGUUCAUUCAGUGUUUUAUGUGUUACGGGAUCCAUUGUGUUUUAUGCCUUACAGUUGACCGCGUAUGCUUCUAUUUCAUGUUUGUAUGGUUUAUUAUUUCCACAUUUUUGUUUAUUGACAGCUGCUAGUGACCCUCUAUAUUCUUAAGCAUUUCUAUUGAUUAAAAUUUAUCGAAUUGAAUAUUGUCUAAUAGGUUUAACCUAAUACGGUUUUUUUUUAGUAAGGUGUUGAAAUGCUUCGUUAUUUUUCUCUAUUUCUAUCAAUCUAGAAUUGCCAUUGUCAAUGCAGUACAGUGUAUUGCAUUUUUCUGCAUAACCUGGCUUACAGGUAAUCAGAUGCCACUUAUCCUGGUAACGAAAUAAUAGGUUUAACAAAAUAAUUUUUUCAAAUUAAGUAGUUUUUUAAAUAGGUAGAAAAAAUUCAAAAUUUCAUGCCAUGACACUUGUAAAAUUGUUUAUAACAUAGGUCAAAACUAAAGAUGCAUUACAAAUCAAAUAAUAUUAGGAUUAGGCUCUCUAAGUCUAGUUGCAAAUUUAACGAGAUUUAAAAUAAUAUUAUUCGGCCCUCAAAUAUGCAGAAGGCUUAGCAAAGAGAUAAUACAAAUAGGACAACAUGAAACAACUUGCUAUGAAGUUUGAUUUUGAGUUUUUUUUUUUUUAAUGAAUGGGAAAUAAACAAACAAAGGCACCAGAAGGAAAAAAAAUCAGCUACCCCUGGGAUACAAAGUUCCUAGGGCAUCUGCCUAAGACAAGGAGGACACACAUUCCACAACUUGAACGAAUCACUUGAGGAAGCCCCAAACUUAGCAAGCCAAUCUGCAAUCUUGUUCCCUUCCCUUAAGAUGUGGGUGAAGGAAACAUUCAUACAGGAGGAAGACAAACUUCUGAUGCUAUGGAUCGGAGGAGCUACAGCAUGAGUUUGCACCACACCAUUGAAUAAAAAUAUUUACUAAAAUCUU